GAUUGAUAGCUCAGUCGGUAAGAGCAUGGUGCUGAUAACACCAAGGUUGCCGGUUCAAUCCCCGUAUGGGACA